rnacentral:rRNA from 1 species
CAGUCGCCGCGGUAAUACGGAGGGUGCAAACGUUAAUCGGAAUUACUGGGCGUAAAGCGCACGCAGGCGGUUUGUUAAGUCAGAUGUGAAAUCCCCGAGCUUAACUUGGGAACUGCAUUUGAAACUGGCAAGCUAGAGUCUUGUAGAGGAUGGUGGAAUUCCCGGUGUAGCGGUGAAAUGCGUAGAGAUCGGGAGGAACAUCAGUGGCGAAGGCGGCCAUCUGGGACAACACUGACGCUGAGGCACGAAAGCGUGGGGAGCAAACAGGAUUAGAUACCCCUGUAGUCCCUGUCUCUUAUAC